rnacentral:rRNA from 1 species
AGUGAACGCUGGCGGUAGGCCUAACACAUGCAAGUCGAACGGCAGCACAGUAAGAGCUUGCUCUUACGGGUGGCGAGUGGCGGACGGGUGAGGAAUACAUCGGAAUCUACUUUUUCGUGGGGGAUAACGUAGGGAAACUUACGCUAAUACCGCAUACGACCUACGGGUGAAAGCAGGGGAUCUUCGGACCUUGCGCGAUUGAAUGGGCCGAUGUCGGAUUAGCUAGUUGGCGGGGUAAAGGCCCACCAAGGCGACGAUCCGUAGGUGGUCUGAGAGGAUGAUCAGCCACACUGGAACUGAGACACGGUCCAGACUCCUACGGGAGGCAGCAGUGGGGAAUAUUGGACAAUGGGCGCAAGCCUGAUCCAGCCAUACCGCGUGGGUGAAGAAGGCCUUCGGGUUGUAAAGCCCUUUUGUUGGGAAAGAAAAGCAGCAGGUUAAUACCCCGCUGUUCUGACGGUACCCAAAGAAUAAGCACCGGCUAACUUCGUG